UACUGAGUUUCCCCAAAUCAGGGGGUGUGGUGCACUGAAGGGCAAGGGGUUGGGAACAACUGAUAUGUGCCCACUUUGUCUUGGGAGACCCAAAUGCCCUGCAAUCAGAAAUCCAGUUGGAAGGCAUAGUCUUGUCUCACAUCCAGAUUAGUAAGCAAGGCAAGGAGCAGGUUUGUGGAGACUCAGCUUUAAAAAAAAAAAAAAAAAAAAAAAAGCAUGGACUCAUUGGGUGCUUUGCCUAGAAGCUAGGCCCUGAGGGUUUAUCUAGUUCAUUCCAGCAUCCAUCCUUCAAAUGGCUGAGAAGCACCAAGAUCCAAGAUCACACAUCACUGAAAGGAUCCACUACUCCUCUACUGGCUCAAGGGACAGAAGAAGACAGACCACUGCCAGCCAUGUCUGCUGCCACCCAGAAGGACAGCGGAGCCUCUAACUGUGUGAAGGGAAACUGGAGACCCAUGCUCUCACAGGACCCAGACUCAGAGAAAGGCACACUUAAACAUUUCACUCAGAGAAAGAUGCACUUAACCAACUCCAGAAAAAAUUUCAGCUGCUUCUCUUGGCAAGUUGGGGGAGUAUGCAUCUGCCAAAUGGA